rnacentral:rRNA from 1 species
AUUGAACGCUGGCGGCAGGCUUAACACAUGCAAGUCGAGCGGGGGAGGUUACUUCGGUAACUGACCUAGCGGCGGACGGGUGAAUAAUGCUUAGGAAUCUGCCUAUUAGUGGGGGACAACAUUCCGAAAGGAAUGCUAAUACCGCAUACGCCCUACGGGGGAAAGCAGGGGAUCUUCGGACCUUGCGCUAAUAGAUGAGCCUAAGUCGGAUUAGCUAGUUGGUGGGGUAAAGGCCUACCAAGGCGACGAUCUGUAGCGGGUCUGAGAGGAUGAUCCGCCACACUGGGACUGAGACACGGCCCAGACUCCUACGGGAGGCAGCAGUGGGGAAGAUUGGACAAUGGGCGGAAGCCUGAUCCAGCCAUGCCGCGUGUGUGAAGAAGGCCUUUUGGUUGUAAAGCACUUUAAGCGCGGAGGAGGCUCCUUUAGUUAAUACCUAAAGAGAGUGGACGUUACUCGCAGAAUAAGCACCGGCUAACUCUGUGCCAGCAGCCGCCGUAAAAC